CCCGCUGAACUUAAGCAUAUCAAUAAGCGGAGGAAAAGAAACCAACCGGGAUUGCCUCAGUAACGGCGAGUGAAGCGGCAACAGCUCAAAUUUGAAAUCGGGCACCCGCCUGAGUUGUAAUUUACAGAGGAUGCUAGGGACCAUGGUGCCUUCCGAGUUCCCUGGAACGGGACGCCAGAGAGGGUGAGAGCCCCGUACGGCUGGUAACCUUGGUCUAUAUCUAGCUCCUUCGAAGAGUCGAGUAGUUUGGGAAUGCUGCUCUAAUUGGGAGGUAAAUCUCUCCUAAAGCUAAAUACUGGCCAGAGACCGAUAGCGCACAAGUAGAGUGAUCGAAAGAUGAAAAGCACUUUGAAAAGAGAGUUAAAUAGUACGUGAAAUUGUUGAAAGGGAAGCGCUCACGACUAGACUUGGGCACUAUGGAUCCCAUGGCGUUCGUCGCCAGGACACUCUCUAGUUGUCUAGGCCAGCAUCGGUUGUUAAUAGGGGAGAAAGGUAGGGGGAACGUGGCUCUUCCUUCUGGGAAGAGUGUUAUAGCCCCCUACGUCCUACUCUGUCGACGACCGAGGACCGCGUUCUUGAACAAGGAUGCUGGCAUAAUGGUCGUUAGCGACCCGUCUUGAAACACGG
rnacentral:rRNA from 1 species